rnacentral:rRNA from 1 species
GGGCGCAAGCCUGAUCCAGCAAUGCCGCGUGUGUGAAGAAGGCCUUCGGGUUGUAAAGCACUUUUAUCAGGAACGAAAUACCACGGGUUAAUAACCUAUGGGGCUGACGGUACCUGAGGAAUAAGCACCGGCUAACUUCGUGCCAGCAGCCGCGGUAAUACGAAGGGUGCAAGCGUUAAUCGGAAUUACUGGGCGUAAAGGGUGCGUAGGCGGUUAGUUAAGUCUGUCGUGAAAUCCCCGGGCUCAACCUGGGAAUGGCGAUGGAUACUGGCUAGCUAGAGUGUGUCAGAGGAUGGUGGAAUUCCCGGUGUAGCGGUGAAAUGCGUAGAGAUCGGGAGGAACAUCAGUGGCGAAGGCGGCCAUCUGGGACAACACUGACGCUGAAGCACGAAAGCGUGGGGAGCAAACAGGAUUAGAUACCCUGGUAGUCCACGCCCUAAACGAUGCGAACUGGAUGUUGGUCUCAACUCGGAGAUCAGUGUCGAAGCUAACGCGUUAAGUUCGCCGCCUGGGGAGUACGGUCGCAAGACUGAAACUCAAAGGAAUUGACGGGGGCCCGCACAAGCGGUGGAGUAUGUGGUUUAAUUCGAUGCAACGCGAAGAACCUUACCUGGCCUUGACAUGUCCGGAAUCCAGCAGAGAUGCAGGAGUGCCUUCGGGAAUCGGAACACAGGUGCUGCAUGGCUUGUCGUCA